AGCGAACGCUGGCGGCAGGCCUAACACAUGCAAGUCGAGCGAAGUCUUCGGACUUAGUGGCGGACGGGUGAGUAACACGUGGGAACGUACCUUUUGGUUCGGAACAACUCAGGGAAACUUGAGCUAAUACCGGAUGAGCCCUUAGGGGGAAAGAUUUAUCGCCGAAAGAGCGGCCCGCGUUAGAUUAGCUAGUUGGUGAGGUAAAGGCUCACCAAGGCUACGAUCUAUAGCUGGUCUGAGAGGAUGAUCAGCCACACUGGGACUGAGACACGGCCCAGACUCCUACGGGAGGCAGCAAUGGGGAAUCUUGCGCAAUGGGCGAAAGCCUGACGCAGCCAUGCCGCGUGAAUGAUGAAGGUCUUAGGAUUGUAAAAUUCUUUUACCAGGGACGAUAAUGACGGUACCUGGAGAAAAAGCCCCGGCUAACUUCGUGCCAGCAGCCGCCGUAAUAC
rnacentral:rRNA from 1 species